GGAUAUAGCUCAGUUGGUAGAGUGCUUGCUUCUCAGGCACAAGGCCCUGGGUUCAAUCCCCAGCACCA
rnacentral:tRNA from 1 species